UCCCUGUUGCCAGGGCAGUCUAGCUAGAAAAAUUCAACUAACUAUAGGGGUUGCGCUCGUUGAUGGACUUAACCAAACAUCUCACGACACGAGCUGACGACGGCCAUGCAUCACCUGUCACUGCGCUCACAAGGCACAGUCUCCUUUCGGAGACCUUCGCAGGAUGUCAAGCCUGGGUAAGGUUCUUCGCUUAUCAUCGAAUUAAACAACACGCUCCACCGCUUGUGCGGGUUCCCGUCAAUUCCUUUAUGUUUUAGUCUUGCGACCGUACUCCACAGGCGGGAUGCUUAACGCGUUAGCUUCGCCACUACCGGGGUCGAUACCCGCUACACCAAGCACCCAUCGUUUACGGCGUGGACUAC
rnacentral:misc_RNA from 1 species